UUUUACCUGUGCCAGGUGGACCAUAGAGAAGCAAACCAAACCUCAGCCACUUUCUUGAGAGUGGUUGGCUCUGAACUUACUCAGAAGUACCUAGGUGACGGGCCCAAACUCGUACGGGAAUUGUUUCGAGUUGCCGAAGAACAUGCACCGUCCAUCGUGUUUAUUGAUGAAAUUGACGCCAUUGGGACAAAAAGAUAUGACUCCAAUUCUGGUGGGGAGAGAGAAAUUCAGCGAACAAUGUUGGAACUGCUGAACCAGUUGGAUGGAUUUGAUUCUAGGGGAGAUAUGAAAGUUAUCAUGGCCACAAACCGAAUAGAAACUUUGGAUCCAGCACUUAUCAGGCCAAGCCGCAUUGACAGGAAGAUUGAGUUCCCCCUGCCUGAUGAAAAGACGAAGAAGCGCAUCUUUCAGAUUCACACAAGCAGGAUGACGCUGGCUGAUGAUGUAACCCUGGACGACUUGAUCAUGGCUAAAGAUGACCUCUCUGGUGCUGACAUCAAGGCAAUCUGUACAGAAGCUGGUCUGAUGGCCUUAAGAGAACGUAGAAUGAAAGUAACAAAUGAAGACUUCAAAAAAUCUAAAGAAAGUGUUCUUUAUAAGAAACAGGAAGGCACCCCUGAGGGGCUGUAUCUCUAGUGAACC